UUAGCACGUAGUAGAACUGCAGAAGGCUGAAACUGCCAGAAAAUUUGUGACAAUGGCUACAGUGCUCACUCACCAUCAGUGUUAUUUAUUUAAGUUGAUUAUCUGCUAUGUUUGGAUUUCUCAAUUCAUUUUAAUGGACUUUUAAGUUGUCUUUGGUUUAAUCUUUUUUAAACAAAAAUGAAAGAUUAAUAUUUCGAUAGAUUAACUGGAUCAUCCUUUUGGUGUUUGAUCAAGAGAUUAGGGUUUGAUUCAGUUGUAUCAAUCAUAUAAAUCCUCUUAUGACAAUGGAGCUGGAGCCUCAACCGCUAUGCAAACUGAUUUUUUGUUUGGUUUUUAAUUGAUAGUAUUGGGCUGCUACGAUGUGAUUUUUUUUUUUUUUGGUUAAAAUUUUCUCAAAGAUUCUUAGUAGUGAAAUUUCAACCUCUUCUUCAGGAGAAGAAGGCGGUGGCGGUGAAAUCCACAAGAGCGAGGAGGAAGGAGCAACGUCAACCAAGGAGCUUGGUGAAGAAAAGGAUUUGAUGAAUUUUACAAGUAUAUAUUGGUGUUUGAGAUAUGUAUAUUCUUCAGAAUGUUUAUGGGUUUGGUAAAAGCAAACGAUAUGCAUGUUGGUUCAGUGAAUUAAGCUGGGAUACCGUGAAUUCUGAAUUCAGUGGCAGGAACAUAAUGGAGGUGCAGAGGAACUGACUGAAAGAAACGGAGGUAUAUUAAGAAUGUAAGUCCUGAUCAUAAGUAUAGUGAGCAGCACAUUCGAGAGGUCGCCAGCAUUCAAUUGUUUUCUCUUCUGUUUACUGUUUGCAAUACAAAAUUGUUAUGUGAAAUUAAUGCAAUUUCAUUGACUUGAGAAAUAAA